rnacentral:rRNA from 1 species
GACCUUCCCUGGACGUGGUGGAUAACCUGCCGAAAGGCGGGCUAAUACAGCAUGGGACCACAUGGUUUUGACCGAGUGGUGAAAGCGGGCCUCCGUUCACAAGCUCGCGCUCUGGGAUGGGUCUGCGUCCCAUCAGCUAGUUGGUGAGGUAAUGGCUCACCAAGGCAUCGACGGGUAGCUGGUCUGAGAGGAUGACCAGCCACACUGGAACUGAGACACGGUCCAGACUCCUACGGGAGGCAGCAUGGGGAAUCUUGCGCAAUGGGCGAAAGCCUGACGCAGCGACGCCGCGUGGGUGAUGAAGGCCUUCGGGUUGUAAAGCCCUGUGGGGAGGAACGAACCGUACGGGGGCGAACACCCUCCGUACCUGACGGUACCUCCUUAGCAAGCAUCGGCUAACUCUGUG